rnacentral:rRNA from 1 species
AACGAACGCUGGCGGCAUGCCUAACACAUGCAAGUCGAACGAGACCUCCGGGUCUUGUGGCGCACGUGUGCGUAACGCGUGGGAACCUGCACUUAGGUACGGAAUAACUCACCGAAAGGGGUGCUAAUACAGGUGAAUGUCUUAGGACAAAAGAUCUAUGGCCUUUGGAUGGGCGCGCGUUGGAUUAGCUGGUUGGUAGGGUAAAAGCAUACCAAGGCGACGAUGCAUAGCUGGUCGGGGAGGAUGACUAGCCACGCUGGAGCUGAGACACGGCCCAGAAUCCUACGCAAGGGAGCAGAGGGGAAUAUUGGAGAAUGGACGAAGGCGUGAUCCAGCAACGUGGGGUAAGUGAGGAAGGCCGUAGGGUUGUGAUGUUGUUUUACCCGAGAUGAUAGUGACGGUACCGGGAGAAUAAGCACCGGCUAACUCCGUG